rnacentral:rRNA from 1 species
UACGGGGGGGGUAAGCGUUGUUCGGAAUUACUGGGCGUAAAGGGCUCGUAGGCGGCCAACUAAGUCAGACGUGAAAUCCCCAGGCUUAACCUGGGAACUGCGUCUGAUACUGGAUGGCUUGAGAUUGGGAGAGGGAUGCGGAAUUCCAGGUGUAGCGGUGAAAUGCGUAGAUAUCUGGAGGAACACCGGUGGCGAAGGCGACAUCCUGGACCAACACUGACGCUGAGGAGCGAAAGCCAGGGGAGCAAACGGG